rnacentral:lncRNA from 10 species
UAUACAGUAACAUGAAUGCAUUUUAAUUCAUUACUUCCACAGUAUUUGUAUUUUAAGGCUUUUAUCUACGUCUGAUUUGGGAGCAAAAUCCAUAAUUCCCUAUUAACUGAGAUUUAUGUAGUCCCCUGACAGGUAGAGAGCUAAUUAUCUGGAAAGCCUCUACUAGACCCCUCAAAUCACAUUGAUUGAUUGAUUGAUUGAUUUGCUGGUAAUUUCAUUCAGAGCAGAGAUUGUAUCUUACUCAAGUUUUAUCAUAGACCUUAUCAAAGUUCCUGGCAAGCAGGAAAUACGCAAUAAAUGUUUAUUAAAGGAAAUUAAUAAAUGAAAGAGUGAUGAUGAACUAGAAUGACAAAACAGUGGUUUCCUGCCCCUCAGAUACUCUCUCACACACACACGCACACACACACAAGUACAUGCACAUACAGGCAUUACACAUACACACACAUACAUAUCACACACAACACACACAAACACACAAGUGCAUACAUACACACAGAUACCAUACACAGCACACCAUCGACAUACAAGUGCAUGCAUAUACAGACACCACACAUACACACAUACACAUCACAAACGCACAAGUGCAUACAUACAGGCACCACAAACACAAACACACAUGCACACACAUGUGAACACACAUACAAGUACAUGCAUACACACAGACACUACAUUUACAUAGACAUCAGACCGACAUCACACACAUACAUAUCACCCA